rnacentral:rRNA from 1 species
GCAUAUCAAUAAGCGGAGGAAAAGAAACCAACAGGGAUUGCCCUAGUAACGGCGAGUGAAGCGGCAACAGCUCAAAUUUGAAAUCUGGCUCUUUCAGAGUCCGAGUUGUAAUUUGCAGAGGGCGCUUUGGCGUUGGCAGCGGUCCAAGUUCCUUGGAACAGGACGUCACAGAGGGUGAGAAUCCCGUACGUGGUCGCUAACCUUCGCCGUGUAAAGCCCCUUCGACGAGUCGAGUUGUUUGGGAAUGCAGCUCUAAAUGGGAGGUAAAUUUCUUCUAAAGCUAAAUACUGGCCAGAGACCGAUAGCGCACAAGUAGAGUGAUCGAAAGAUGAAAAGCACUUUGGAAAGAGAGUCAAAUAGCACGUGAAAUUGUUGAAAGGGAAGCGCUUGCAGCCAGACUUGCCUGUAGUUGCUCAUCCGGGCUUUUGCCCGGUGCACUCUUCUGCGGGCAGGCCAGCAUCAGUUUGGGCGGUUGGAUAAAGGUCUCUGUCAUGUACCUCUCUUCGGGGAGGCCUUAUAGGGGAGACGACAUACAACCAGCCUGGACUGAGGUCCGCGCAUCUGCUAGGAUGCUGGCGUAAUGGCUGUAAGCGGCCCGUCUUGAAACACGGACCAAGGAGUCUAACAUCUAUGCGAGUGUUUGGGUGUCAAGCCCGAGCGCGCAAUGAAAGUGAACGGAGGUGGGACCCCAUUAGGGUGCACCAUCGACCGAUCCUGAAGUCUUCGGAUGGAUUUGAGUAAGAGCAUGGCUGUUGGGACCCGAAAGAUGGUGAACUAUGCUUGAAUAGGGUGAAGCCAGAGGAAACUCUGGUGGAGGCUCGCAGCGGUUCUGACGUGCAAAUCGAUCGUCAAAUUUGGGCAUAGGGGCGAAAGACUAAUCGAA